rnacentral:lncRNA from 1 species
GUAAGUUAAUCUAGAAUCUUUUAAUCGAAGCUUGGAAUAAAUAUCAACUUAUAUAAUGGAAUUGUCAAGGGAAACUAGAAUUGGCUUAGUUCAAAUUUGGAUCUAAAAUAUGAUUACUUGAUCAUAUGAUGGUACAAAUAUGACAACUAUCUCAAGGGUUAAUCAUGAUCUAGUGUACUUGGGAAGCAAGGAUAAAAUUUUGUUUGGAUAUUAAAAGAAAAAAAAAAUUUUUUGCUGAUGAUGUGGGAUCAAUAAGAAAGUUUGGAAAAUAUUGAUCUGAGUUGUGCAGCAGAAAUUUGAUGAACUGAGUAAAUUCAAACUGGUCAAAAAUAUUGACUGUGUUUUGGUAACAUGUAUGAUGAAAGACUAUGUUGUUCAAUAAUGAAAGAUUUUGUUAAUAAGGGAAGGUGAAUACUAUUGAUUCUCAGAUCAAUCCUGAUAUGAUUAUGUUAUUUCUUGGAUAGACUUUGCUAUUUUUGGGUAUGCUAAGAAAAUAAUAAUAAUAAUAAUAAUUUGAGCGUAUCAUGACUCGGGUUAGUUGA